UUUUAAUCAUCUGUGCCUAUGGUAAGUAAGGAUAAUGGAAACUUUCUUUUAGCAGUUUUUUGCAUUUGUCAUAUAGUUUAACACAUGACAGGAAAACAUGACACCUGAUUGGUUUUGGUAGAAUAGUAACUUGUAGCCAUUUCUGUAUUUAUCCUUGUAUAGUGAGAACUGAUGUUCAUAAUUAUGAUUGUUUGGUGUCGCAGCCUCCCAAAACUCAUUUAACUUGAACUAAUAGAUGACUUCAUUCCUCCAAGAAAUACAUUAUGAAUCUUAGAUGUAUAUAAGCUUUGGAUAGACAAAAUCAUAGUACCUUAUAAUCAAUUAUGUAAACCUAUACUUUAUAUCAGGUAAGUAGGUUUUGUUUAUUUUCUUAAUGUUUGUAGGCUGUGGACCCAAAUGUUAACCUAAUGACGUUAUCAAGAUCCUUUCCUCUGCUGUACUCAGUGUUGGUUUCAUCUGGACAGGCUUCUCUUACUUGAUUGCAUGAAGCUUCAUGCCUGUUUAUUCAUGCACAAAGAAGAGUAGCUGCCUUUUUGAGUCUCUUAUUGUAUGAAUGAAUAAACUUUACCAGAACAUAUCUUCUGCCCCCUCGUUUUCAAAGUGAACUUUAACAGGCUAAUGGCCCAUAAAUAAUGUUAUAAAUAUCCAAAUGGCCGUUGACAGAAAAAAGAUUCCCAACUCCUACUCUGUUUUUUAUAAAUUGCUCCCUGACAAGAGGCAUGGAAUUGCUUGAGGUCAUAGAUGAAGGUUUUUAGUUCAUUGUGUCAUAAACCUCUUUGUCACCCAUGAAUUCAGUAUAUUUAAAAUAAAGUAUAAAGUAGCUCUUCUGGUUGCAGCAGCGCGAGCAGCCAUGAGCAGCAAAGUUUCUCGAGACACCCUGUAUAAGGUGGUGCGGGAGGUCCUGCACGAGAACCAGCACGAGCGCCGCAAGUUCCUGGAAACGGUGGAGCUGCAGAUCAGCCUCAGGAACUACAAUCCCCAGAAGGACAAGCGUUUCUCGGGCACCGUCAGGCUCAGGUCCACCCCUCGCCCCAAGUUCUCGGUGUGCGUCCUGGGCGACCAGCAGCACUGCGAUGAGCCCAAGGCUGUGGACAUCCCCCACAUGGACAUCGAAGCGCUCAAGAAACUCAACAAAAACAAUAAACUCGUCAAGAAGCUAGCCAAGAAGUACGACGCCUUCCUGGCCUAGGAGUCCCUGAUCAAACAGAUCCCUUGGAUCCUGGGCCCGGGCCUCAACAAGGCAGGCAAGUUCCCCUCCUUGCUGACACACAAUGAGAACAUGGUGGCCAAAGCCAACGAGGUCAAGUCCACCAUCAAGUUCCAGAUGAAGAAGGUACUGUGUCUGGCUGUGGCUGUUGGCCAUGUGAAGAUGACCGACGAUGAGCUUGUGUGCAACAUCCACCUAGCUGUCAACUUCCUGGUGUCAUUGCUCAAGAAGAACUGGCAGAAUGUGCAGGCCUUGUACUUAAAGAGCACCAUGGGCAAGCCUCAGCGCCUGUAUUAGGCUGUCUAAUAAACCUGUGUGUGUCUGAAA